rnacentral:tRNA from 1 species
GCGAAGGUGGCGGAAUUGGUAGACGCGCUAGCUUCAGGUGUUAGUGNNAGUGUCCUUACGGACGUGGGGGUUCAAGUCCCCCCCCUCGCACCA